rnacentral:rRNA from 1 species
GAUGAACGCUGGCGGCGUGCCUAAUACAUGCAAGUCGAGCGAACAGACGAGGAGCUUGCUCCUUUGACGUUAGCGGCGGACGGGUGAGUAACACGUAGGUAACCUACCUAUAAGACUGGGAUAACUUCGGGAAACCGGAGCUAAUACCGGAUAAUAUUUCGAACCGCAUGGUUCGAUAGUGAAAGAUGGCUUUGCUAUCACUUAUAGAUGGACCUGCGCCGUAUUAGCUAGUUGGUAAGGUAACGGCUUACCAAGGCUACGAUACGUAGCCGACCUGAGAGGGUGAUCGGCCACACUGGAACUGAGACACGGUCCAGACUCCUACGGGAGGCAGCAGUGGGGAAUCUUCCGCAAUGGGCGAAAGCCUGACGGAGCAACGCCGCGUGAGUGAUGAAGGUCUUCGGAUCGUAAAGCUCUGUUAUUAGGGAAGAACAAACGUGUAAGUAACUGUGCACGUCUUGACGGUACCUAAUCAAAAAGCCACGGCUAACUACGUG